rnacentral:rRNA from 1 species
UGCGGAGGAUGCAAGCGUUAUCCGGAAUGAUUGGGCGUAAAGGGUCCGCAGGUGGCAGUGUAAGUCUGCUGUCAAAGAAUGAGGCUUAACCUCAUCAAGGCAGUGGAAACUACACAGCUAGAGUACGGUCGGGGUAGAAGGAAUUCCUGGUGUAGCGGUGAAAUGCGUAGAGAUCAGGAAGAACACCGGUGGCGAAAGCGUUCUGCUAGACCUGUACUGACACUGAGGGACGAAAGCUAGGGGAGCGAAUGGG